UGCCCACUUCCCAGGCUGGCUGCUGGCUCCCCAGCUGGGCAGAGGGGUGGAGGCCCUGUCUCCCAGGGGUCAGGCCAGGGACUGGCUUGUACUGCAAAGGGCCAGCUCCCCAAGCUUCACCACUUCCCCUGGGACUUGGCAAGCCUGGGAUGUGCGACAUUGAGUAGAGAGGAAGUGAUGGCUGCUGUGCCCGGCAAGAAAGCAGGGACGGCGACUCUCCCAUGUCCUCUCAUCUGCAGGUCCAGGGAGGCCGCCUGGCCGGCAGGGAGGCUGGAGCAGGCGAGCACCACUUCUGGUGACCUCAGCAAGCUCCUGGACCCCUAAGCUUUGGCCUCCUGUCUGCAGAGCGAAGACAGGAAGUGCACCCACUUUGAAGGACAUCACGAGGACUAGAAAACAUUUCCACAGUGCCGGUGCUUGAUCAGCGCUCAAGAAACGUUUUUCAAAAAGUAGGCAUUUUUGCCUCUGUUGGAGGAGUACACUGAGGCUUAGAGAGGGAAAGCACCUGGUUCAAGAGGCUUCAGGAGGACGGCGGUCUCACCCUGACUUGGAGAAGCAAAAAGGAGGCAGUGGAAGAGGCCCUUCCAGAGAGGACAAUGGGAAGAGCAGCGCCUGUUGGUCACCGGUCACGUCUCAGCAGACCUGCCAGAUGCAGAUUCCAGCACCUGCAGAGCCCAUCCUGGGCGUAGUUGCUGGGUCAGGUGCCUGAGGGCCCGUCCAGUGUCACUGGCACCGCCUUGUGUGGCAGAAAACAUGGAGCCUUUGAACUCCCUCCUCUGAGAUCCUCCCCAGACCCUGCCAAGAUCAGCGUGCACCUGACCGAGGAGCCAAACCCUGGGGCCAGGGUCGUCAAUUUGCUGGGAAUCCUCCUGCCUGUGCCUCUCCAGCCAGGGCUGGGAACACACCAACGACACCAACCCUGGGGCUGGAGGCCACCGUCUGGUUUCCCAGGCUCCCUGAGGUGGUUCUGUGGGCAGUUCUAGCCAGUCCCUUGGUGCUGAAAUAUGGGCAUCUAUGGACAUGUAUGGUCUCUGCCUUCUCUAUGUCUGCUGCCAGUCCUGCCUUGGCACUGCCAUCUUGAGCCUGAGUGAUAGCAGCUGUGUCUGGCUGCUCUUCCAGACCCUACUGGGACCCCACUGUGGCCCGGGUCAGUUCAAAAUGAAAACAUGGGCGUAAGCCUCUCCUGCCCAGUGCUGACUGGGGCCUGGCCAAGCUUGUAGGGUAGCCCUGGGCCUUGUGCCAUCUGGCCCGCCUCCUUUGCAUCCUUCCCAGUCCCAGGUCCUUAAACCCACAGGCCUCUGGCAACAGUCACAGUGCUGAAAAUGCUUCCCCUGCCCCCACCAUUGCCUGAUAAACGCCUCUUCCCCUCAGCCCUCCCCGGCCUCUCCCACCUCCUGCCAUACUGAACUUCUCUAUCCCACACCAAGCAGUCUGUAAUACUCAAAUAUCUCAGUGAUUUAAAAAAUGAAAACCUGUCUUCUGCCCUCAGUAGAGGAUCCCUACAGGCAGGAAGCAUCUCUUAUUCAUCCUUUCUCACCGGAACCUGCGUACACAGUAGGAGUCCAGAAAACGCACCUGUUCCGUGAGCAAGUGAGGUGAUCUCUGACCUCAGCCAGAGGGAGCCAGGGCCCUAAGGGCUCUGAGUACAGCCACAGGCCCGGAGCUGGGCGUCCGUGGAGGAGGUUUGGCCAAAGGGCCGAGUGGGGCAGCCUGGUGAGAGAGCCCCAACUGUUUGAAGAGAAAAGGAAACAUGGUGGUGCGGGGGUUGGGGCGUCGCCUUGGGGCUGUGGACAGCCCUCCUAAGCGCCACGCUACCCUCAGAGCCAGAACCAGAGCAGAAGGAAAUAAGUGUCCCUUGGGCUACGAGGGAUGGUUAGGGGGCAGCAGUGGGAGCCCCAAUCCCAGUAGCCCCAUCUUGGGCCACAUGCCUGCCCUGUACCAGGCCUCUAUCUGGCCCAGACAGGGUGGCUCCUGGCCUCCAGACCCCAUUCCAGCAGCCCCAGCCUUGCCCGAGGAAUUAAGCUCUGCUUACCCCUCUGGCCCUCCAAAGGCAAAUGCUGGCAGGCUGUGCCAUCGCUGGGCUGUGGAGAUGCCCAGAUCUGCACGGACCUUGGGUUUCCUCGGCCAGUCACUCCUGGCACUGAGUCAUGUGGCGAGGACUCAGACGCCACCCACCUGCCCACUUGCCUGCCAGGAACGCACUGAGGCUAUUAACAGGCUGAGUGGUGGCCACAGAAGGGCUUUAUUUUCAAAUAAACAGGCGGAAGCACUGUUAUUUCUGUCAAUAAUCACUCGGUUCUUCCCAGCGACUUGGCAAGGAAGAAGUCAUACACUGUACAAAAGUACAUUUAUUUUUACAGGCUUAAAAAAAGUCCACCUCAAGCUAUUUUAAGUCACCCUAACCUCCACUUUCAAUAUUUUCCCCGACUGGACUUUGGAAGUUCCAGUUCCUCUCCCCUUCGCGCCCUGCUCUCUAGGUGCUCCCUUCCUGGCCAAGUGUGGGGGUACUGCCCAGAGCUGGGGUGGGGGCAAUUGGAGGGUGGUCUGGAGCGAUGCUGGGGGCACUGAGCGCUGCCCCUCACCCUUCAGCACAGGGGGCUCCAGCACUCAGGCCUAACACCCUGCCCCAGGGCCCACAGCUUCUUGGGGGCUCUGUCCAUCCUUUGGGGGUAGCUGGAUCUCCUCAUCUCCAGGGUUGGUCUAUUCCUUCCCCAACGCCUGUCUUGAGAGCCCAGCCAGCUCUCCUCUCCCAGCUCCCCAGGCUUCCUGUUUCCCGAGGGUCUCCUCAACCCAGGAGGUACUCGGUAAGUCUUUCUGGGGUGACUCAGGGGACGAGUGGGAGGAUACACUUCUGCCUUCCCUCCCUGCCAGCCACCGGCAGCCCAGCCCUGUCCCUCCUUCCUUCAACCGCAGUCACUCUCAGAUCUUCCUGACUCCUCAUUUUCCGAUGGCGAGCAGAAGUCCUGAGUCCUUAUCUUUUCAGAUGGGAUCCCCCAGCCUCGCCCCUUCUGGUAGUGACACACUGUCCUCAUUUUUCCUGGCAUGAGUAGACCUGCGUGUCCCAGAUGGCCCUGCACCAGACUGUCCCCACCAGCUCUGCAAGACCCACUGCAACCAAAGGUCAAGGGGUUUGGAAACGCGCCACAUUCCACCCGCCUUGGGAAGCCACGAUAUCACUGAGGGCCCAGGGAGCCCCACGGUAGAGACGUUGGCUUAACUGUUUAACCCAGUAUGCAGCCAAAUUCUCGGACAUCAG